rnacentral:pre_miRNA from 1 species
AGUCUUCUUUAUCUGUGCUGAGAUUUCGUUACACACUAGACCACAAGGGCUGAUGAGACUCCCACGCUCAACUACU